AACGCACAUUGCGCCCGGUGGCAUUCCGCCGGGCAUGCCUGUUCGAGCGUCAUUUAAACCAAUCCAGCCUCGUGCUUGGGUCUUGGGCCUUUCGCCUCUGGGCGGGCCUCAAAAUCAGUGGCGGCGCCUCCUGGCUCUACGCGUAGUAAUACUCCUCGCUAUAGAUGUCUGGUGGUGUCCUGCCAAAACCCCCCUAUUUUUUAAGGUUGACCUCGGAUCAGGUAGGGAUACCCGCUGAACUUAA
rnacentral:misc_RNA from 1 species